rnacentral:rRNA from 1 species
UACGUAGGAGGCUAGCGUUAUCCGGAAUUACUGGGCGUAAAGGGUGCGUAGGCGGUCUUUCAAGCCAGAAGUGAAAGGCUACGGCUCAACCGUAGUAAGCCUUUGAAACUGAGAAACUUGAGUGCAGGAGAGGAGAGUGGAAUUCCUAGUGUAGCGGUGAAAUGCGUAGAAAUCAGGAGGAAUACCAGUGGCGAAGGCGGCUUUCUGGACUGACCCUGACGCUGAGGUGCGAAAGCGUGGGUAGCAAACAGGAUUAGAUAUCCCGGUAGUCCCU